CCCUUAGAUGUUCUGGGCGGCCCGCGCACUACAAUGGCGUGUGCAGCGAGUGCCGAAGUAGAGUUUUCCGAGGCAUUCUUGCAAUGCUCGUUUUGAUGGGGAUAGACCCUUGCAACUGUUGGUUUUGAACGAGGAAUUCCUUGUAAGCAUGGUUUAUCAUCCGACGCUGAAUGCGUCCCUGCCCUUUGUACACACCGCCCGUCGCUCCUACCGAUGAGUCGUCCGGUGAAGUUCGUAGACCUCGUGAUCGCGGAUCACUGGGGGAAGCAAAAUGAACCUCGCGGUUUAGAGGAAGGAGAAGUCGUAACA
rnacentral:rRNA from 1 species